GAAAGGACAAGAUACAGAGGAUUAAUAAACGCUCUUGAGACUAGAGAUUAGUUGAAUGAUUAAUUGACAAAACUAUAUAAUGCUCACAUAAAUAUUGCUUAAGACAAAGUUCCACGGGCAUUUUUUUAAACAAGAAAAGAUCAUAUUUUUAGCAAUCUAUAAUGUGCAUCCAAUUCAACAUCACACCUCUGGAUAAACAAAUUCCUUCUCAGCUUGAAUAAGGGGAUCAAAAACCUUUACAGGUCAAUGGAAUCUUUAUGCUCAAAACGGUGAUUCAAGUAGUCGUCUCAGCUUGAAUAAGGGCGUCAAGACCCACCUGCAUCUUAGUGUCAAUGACAUUAUAGUAUGCCUUGACAUCUCUGAGAAGGAUGAGCAAUUGUUAUUUUUGUUUAUCUGCGGAAGCAAGAUUCUCACUGAGUCUUUCAACAAUCUCAAAAUCUCUGCUUUACGAGCUUCAUCUAGCUUCUUCUCCAACUCAGUGUAGCAGGUAGAUGCCUCAUUGAAUUCUUCAACAACUUCUCUUCUGUUACGGAUAGAUUGUCUCUGCGGUGAUGGACAUUACGACCUCCUAGGUUAACUUAAGCUUGUUUGGUAUGGUGGCUCUAAUUCGAUCAAAAACUUGACUGAGCAAAAGAUGCGGACAAUUGUAUACAAUAUACAAUUAUGUUGGUGCAUUUUAAUAUUAAAAUUAAAUUGCGUGAUAAUUUAUGGAUAAUAUAAAGUGAAGAAAGUGGUGGUCAUUAGUUUGUGAUAACUGUUGUAACAUCUCACUUUAUUAAUCCAUAAUUCUACCACUUAAUAUUCCUUUACUCUCAUUAUUUUUAUGUCUUUAAUUUAUGAGUUAGUGGUAAGAAUGUCCGAAUAAGUUUUUUGUAACUUCUACCAUUAUUCUACCUCUUUAUGUAUUGUAACUCAUAUAAUAUAUGUAACCUCUAAAGCAUUCAUCUUCCCCA